rnacentral:rRNA from 1 species
GACGAACGCUGGCGGCGUGCUUAACACAUGCAAGUCGAACGAUGAAGCCCAGCUUGCUGGGUGGAUUAGUGGCGAACGGGCGAGUAACACGUGAGUAACCUGCCCUGGACUCUGGGAUAACCCCGAGAAAUCGGAGCUAAUACCGGAUAGGACCUUCUCUCGCAUGGGGGUUGGUGGAAAGUUUUUCGGUCUGGGAUGGACUCGCGGCCUAUCAGCUUGUUGGUGAGGUAAUGGCUCACCAAGGCGUCGACGGGUAGCCGGCCUGAGAGGGUGACCGGCCACACUGGGACUGAGACACGGCCCAGACUCCUACGGGAGGCAGCAGUGGGGAAUAUUGCACAAUGGGCGCAAGCCUGAUGCAGCAACGCCGCGUGCGGGAUGACGGCCCUCGGGUUGUAAACCGCUUUUGUCAGGGAAGAAGCCUUUCGGGGUGACGGUACCUGGAGAAAAAGGACCGGCUAACUACGUGCCAGCAGCCGCAGUAAUAC